CGCGGGGUGGAGCAGUCUGGUAGCUCGUCGGGCUCAUAACCCGAAGGUCGUAGGUUCAAGUCCUGCCCCCGCAACCA
rnacentral:tRNA from 1 species